GUUAUAUUCCUAUAAAAUCCUUCUUAAUUAAAAAGUGUGAUCAACAUAGCUAACAGCUAUAAAAGGGACAUCUGUGCCCUAUGCAUUUCAUCUCUAUGCCUGAGAGCUCUCCAAACCUCCCUCCUUCUUAGAUCAAUGGCAAAAAAGUAUAACUUAUUAUCUCUAUUGUACUUAUGAUAAACAAAAUUGUGGGGCUGGGCUGAUACGAGUGCUGGUGCAAGGUGGGGAAAUAAGAGCAGGGGCCUUAAUAAAACCAUCUUAAGAAAGAGGAGUAACUGAUUAUGGAUAUACUAGACAUUUUGGAUAGAUGUAAACCACUGCUUUUUUUUUUUAAAUGUAAAACCUGGUUUUAAAAGAGUUAAUGUAUAAACUGUGAAAUGUUUUAGCAAUAUGAAAUCUGGUUUUGACUCCAUGGCUCAGUCUCGGCACUACCCCUGUCUGUGGUGCAAUAAACUCAGUUGAGCUGCAUGUAAUCUAUUUACAAAAACAGCAGCUUUGCAGUCCUUGAUUUGUGUGUCCUUUUAAUUUCUCCAUCCCUGUUGAGUCUCCCUCUGAUGCACCAUGCCAUGAAGAUGAUUAACCUCCAGCACUUUAUCAGCCCAAGAUCCACGGCUGUGGCAGUGCAAGGAACUAUCCUGGUGUAACUGUAGUGCAAGCCAGGCCUGAAGACCAGGUGCUGGGUCUCUGCCCGCUAAGUGCAAAGCCGUUUCUUCCUCACAAAAGCUAGCAAUUUGCUUAAAUCCUGAGAAUAAACCUUAAAUGCUCAGUAAGAUAAGAUUGAUAAGAGGCAACCCCAGCCUCUUAUCAAAUAGAUGGCUAAACUGACCCCCAGGUGGGCUUGGGAGGCAGGGUUCUCCAGACAGUUCUGGAACUUUCUCCUGAGCGCCCCUCGCACCCUCAGGAGCAGCUGCUGGAGGAACCCACAGGUGCAGUGCAGUGCAGUGAUCCCGGCAGGCACUCACAGACACCUGAACCCAGGUGCAGCUGUUCUGGGCACCAGAACCUGGUGUUGCCCUUCCUUGGGAAGGAUGAAUGAUGUGGUUAUUGGGAGGAUAAGAAACAUAAGAAAGACAAAGACCAUUGGGAAACACCCACACAUAGACAGUGGACAAAGAAAGAAAGACUAUCUACUAUGGGAGUGUCUGCAAGAUAGCAUCAGACAAUUAAUUUAG
rnacentral:lncRNA from 1 species